rnacentral:rRNA from 1 species
UGAGGAAUAUUGGUCAAUGGGCGGAAGCCUGAACCAGCCAAGUAGCGUGAAGGAUGACUGCCCUAUGGGUUGUAAACUUCUUUUACAAGGGAAUAAUUGUGGGUACGCGUACCCAUUUGCAUGUACCUUAUGAAUAAGCAUCGGCUAACUCCGUGCCAGCAGCCGCGGUAAUACGGAGGAUGCGAGCGUUAUCCGGAUUUAUUGGGUUUAAAGGGUGCGUAGGUUGUUCGGUAAGUCAGCGGUGAAACCUGAGCGCUCAACGUUCAGCCUGCCGUUGAAACUGCCGGGCUUGAGUUCAGUGGCGGCAGGCGGAAUUCGUGGUGUAGCGGUGAAAUGCAUAGAUAUCACGAGGAACUCCGAUUGCGAAGGCAGCUUGCCAUACUGCGACCGACACUGAAGCACGAAGGCGUGGGUAUCAAACAGGAUUAGAUACCCUGGUAGUCCACGCAGUAAACGAUGAUUACUAGGAGUUUGCGAUAUACCGUCAAGCUUCCACAGCGAAAGCGUUAAGUAAUCCACCUGGGGGAGUACGCCGGCAACGGUG